ACAGGUACUUAUUCAGAAGGAGAAUGAGAAACCCAGUGUUCAGCAGGAUCAGUGAAAAUUCCUGUCUACUGAAUUCCACAUUAUUGAAGUGAAAAGCAUGUUCAGAUGAUGCUUACAAGAUGAAGUUUGGAAAAUGAGUGAUGCUUUUAAUCUGUGCAGAGGUGUUUCAGUCCUGUCUGCAUUUUCUGUGUGCUCUUGCAGAUCGAAUUUUUCAAGUGAUGAAGUCUCUAAGCUCAGAUAUCUUCUACCUGGGGAAAGUGACUCCAGCUGGCUCCUAAGAAGGCUGUCCCUUCUGUACCUGGAUGGACUUCAAGCCUGCAUAGCCAUUGCCUUCAGUGGGAUUGUGGGGUUGGUGGUUGAAGUUCUACUACCUUUACACCCUUUGUUUAUUAUGUAGCUGCACUGUAGGCCAUGGGGAAACCUCUGUGUUGUUCUCUCUACCCGUUUAUAUGAUGCUUUACUGAUGCAUUUCUGCACACACCUAUUUGUCUGGUCCUUUUUGAGCCAAGCAAGAGCGCAACCAGUACAAGCAGCUAAUCUUACAGUGUGGAAGCUUGGGAGCAGUGAGAGGUGAUGAUGCAGAGAGGAGAUGAUGAGCCACAAUGGGAGAAGGUGGAGGCUGCUGACCAAAAGCUGGGGCAGGGUCUGCUGCAGACAUUAAAGCUGUUAAUUUGUUUUCACCUUGAUUGUUUGGAGGUUGCUGUUGUUAAGCUGCCUGGCUGGUGUGGCUGGAAGCUCUGCUGGUUUGUUUUCUUGAAGGACGAGCAAGAAACCCAUAGGUAAACCAGAAACCUCAGUUUGUUACUUCCCAAUAUUUUUUUUUCCUUUGCUUGGCCUUGUGCUAGAGACUUUUGGGGUUACUUGAGCGGAAAGGUAGAGGAGCAGGAUUGGUCUGGGAGAGCUAAUAGAUGCACACAGGGUAAGUGGUGCUGAAUGCAGGGUGCUGGUGUGCCCUGCCCUUGCUGCUCACCUCGGCUGUAAUUACAGCAGGAGAUGUCCCAGCAGAGGAAGUUGUUUGUAACCCUGGUGCUGCCUUUCGGUGCUACUGGGUUGUUACUCAUCCAGGCUGUUGGAGAUCCAGUAUGGCAGGGAACUCAGGAAGUCCUGGAGUCUGGAAGCAGGCAAAGGAGGCAUCCAGCCAAACCAGGUGGUUUGCAUUUCUGUCACUGCUUUUCAGAGCAAGCUGGUUAUUAAAGCUAUCCCAGACAAAAUAGCACAGUUCCUCUUUUUCUCCUGGUGCAUCCCAAUGAAGUAUUCAUUCACGUUAGUCAUGCCAUUCUCUGAAAUCUUUAUAUGUGCAUAAGCAAGGCUUGACUUGUCAUUGAAGUUUAGCAGGUGCAUAGAUAUUAAAAGUUCUGUGUCUUCUGUAAUUUUUUCCUGAUGUAGCAAUUUGGCCUUUACCAAUAGCCUUAGGUUUAAACGGCACAGGAUAUAAAACGAGUUAGUUAUGCUGCUAUGCUUGUUUAAGAAUAAUUGUAAAAAGUGCCUUUGGGUUUCCAGGAACACACAUUAACAGAAGUUGCAUUUCAGUGGCUUUGCAUGGUACCUGGCUUUCACAGCGGUUCAGCUGCUAUUCUCAGAAAAAAAAUGCCCAAAAACCACUUUAGUGGGAGAUUGAUGGAAAUGCAGUGAAUUUUGCUAGUGUUUGGAUUUCCCUGCAUCAGCCUCAGGAGAAUUUGAUGCUGUGUGUCUGCAGAAGGAAUAUUGGUCAGGGAGCCUUGCCAUCUUUAAAAAGGCACAUAAAACCUGAGUCUGCCCUGAGGGGAGGGUAGCCCUAAGGACCAGUCUGUGGAUCUUGCCCUGUAACCAGUGGGGGCUGGGAGUGUCUGGUACAGAACUGGCUGCUCUGUGACUGAGGAGGGAGUCUGAGUGCCCAAAACACCCACAGAGCUGCUCCUCCCUGCCUGUUCAACAGCACCACUGACACACUCUGGCACAGCCCAAGCUAGUUUUUCUGGCAUGGUCAUGAUAUGUUAUGCCAGUGAUGUAGUGAAACUAUAAUAUGUAAUUUUACCUUGAAUACUGUAUAUACACCCUGUGCUAUACUGUCCUUGCUCUGUUGUGAUGCAGUAGCCAUGCAGAAUGAUGGGAUCCCUAACCCAGUGGGAUGGCAGAACAAAAUCUGUUGCUUCGAAUACUUGUUGCUGCAAAACCAUACUUUUUACACAGGAGAAGGUUGUAUGUGAUUUUUAUUUUACCAUAAGGUAUUUAUUUGUAAUAGUUGACUGCAGCUGUCUUUUCCAGUUGUCUUUGCAGUUUGAGUAUCAGAAGGAUAAGAUACUCAGCUGAAAUGUAUUUCACCUAUUGACUGAUCAAAUUUGAAUACCAGAGAGUGUUAAUAAAGCUUAAACAAUGCCAUAGGUAUGGUAAACACAGUUUGCUUGUUUUAACAGAAACACACAGUUUUCUGGUUCAAUUGCCUUUUUCUGCCACUCAGGACAUGACAGUGCUUUAUACCUCAGACUCUCCCUUCAGCCAUCCUUGCCCUUUGUUGUGUGACACCAAGUCCCAGAAGAGGCUUGGCAGAAGAAACCCCAAAUAGCCUGUCCCCAGCAAACUGCCCCUGCUCUUUCCUGCAAAAGCCCAUGUGGAUUAAAGAGCCUAAGAAGCAUCUGAUGGUAUUGGAUCCACUUCUAAUCCCUUCUUCCACUCCUAGUAGGUGUCAAGUUCUGAAACUGUGAGAAAGGUACAAGGAUGCUGAAAAAACACAGAUGGUGUAUGAUCUUCCCAUCCACUAAAGUUUUCUCAUAUGCUCCAAUUGUUUGAGUUAGUUUAAGGCCUGAAAUCUAGCUUUGGAGAUAUUUUUGGAAAUAUGUUUAUGGUAUAUAUAACAUACAUAUGUGUGUAUAUAAAAUAUAUGUACAUGUUUAAAGUGUUGCAUGUGUUAUUGGUAAAGUUUUGACUUUAGAUACAGCAAAUUUCUUGACCUAAGGAAACACAGUGAAAGGAUCCCAGUAAUUGCUGGCAGUUUUCAAAACUGUCUGCCUCUGUCCAUGUUGAAAGAGAAGCUGAGUUGUCCACCCCAGCAGAAAGUUACAGGGUAAAUUCUGCUUGGGAUAAUUCCUUAGUGACUAAGAAACUCAUAAUUGGCUCUGUGUGGGCAGAGGAUCUGUCUGUGGUGAGGCGAGAGCAGUGCAGCAGACAUGGAAAGUGUAUGGGAUUGCCGAGGUGGGAUACGGCGUUUGUACAACUGCUCUGUGCUCUGCUGUGUUAAUUGUUGCCCUUCAGAAGCCCUGUCCAGUUUUUUGAUCCUC